CACCUGCGCCCCAGGUGAGCAGCGAGGGGGGGCGGGGGGAGGGGCCGAGCUGGAGGCGGCUCACCUGGCGGGACAGGCGUCUGGCUACAGCGGACGAUGCAGUGAGCCAUGCCCCGCCCCGGACACCCCCGCCCAUCAUCCGGGCCCCCACGCUUGGGACCGUGGGAGCGGCCAGCAGAGCUAUGCCUGGAGACCUACGAUGAGCCAUCCCGGGCCCCACCGAGCCGCCGCACCCGCAGGCCAGACCCCAAGGACCCCGGGCACCACGGGCCCGAGAGCCUUACCUUCAUCUCUGGCUCUGCCGAGCAGACUCCCGAGCCCCCUGCCUGCUGUCUGCUCUGGCGACCCUGGGUGUGGGACUGGUGCCGGGCGGCCUUCUGCUUCCGCCGCUGCCGGGACUGCCUCCAGCGCUGCGGGGCCUGUGCGCGGGGCUGCAGCCCCUGCUUGUCCUCGGGGGACUCCCCUGAAGGGGCGGCCGAAGCCAGCUGGGUCAAGGAACACAACGGCGUGCCCCCCAGCCCUGACCAUGCGCCUCCCAGCCGGCGGGAUGGCCAGCGGCUCAAGUCGGCCAUGGGGAGCAGCUUCAGCUACCCCGACGUCAAGCUCAAAGGCAUCCCAGUGUACCCCUACCGCAGCGCCACCUCCCCCGCCCCCGACGCGGACUCCUGCUGCAAGGAGCCGCUGGCUGACCCCCCGCCCAUGCGGCACAGCCUGCCUAGCACCCUCGCCAGCAGUCCCCGGGGCUCCGAGGAGUACUACUCCUUCCACGAGUCGGACCUGGACCUGCCCGAGAUAGGCAGUGGCUCCAUGUCCAGCCGAGAGAUCGACGUGCUCAUCUUCAAGAAGCUGACAGAGCUGUUCAGCGUACACCAGAUCGAUGAGCUGGCCAAGUGCACCUCAGACACUGUGUUCCUGGAGAAGACCAGUAAGAUCUCGGACCUUAUCAGCAGCAUCACCCAGGACUACCACCUGGAUGAGCAGGACGCUGAGGGCCGCCUGGUGCGCGGCAUCAUUCGCAUCAGUACCCGCAAGAGCCGCGCCCGCCCGCAGACGGCAGAGGGGCGCUCAAGCCGGGCGGCCGCCCCAGCUGCCACCGCCCCAGACAGCGGCCACGAGACCAUGGUGGGCUCAGGGCUCAGCCAGGAUGAACUCACAGUGCAGAUCUCCCAGGAGACGACCGCAGAUGCCAUUGCCAGGAAGCUGAGACCCUAUGGAGCCCCAGGUUUGGUCCUGACGUGAUGAGGAGUGCGGAGAGGAGAGGGGACAGCCCUCGCGGCCCCCAACCUGCCCCUCUCCCAGCUUCCUCCUGGGGAUACCCUGCCAGCCACGACUCAUCCUUCCAGGGCACCGACACAGACUCUUCAGGGGCACCGCUGCUCCAGGUGACCUGCUAACCCUCGCCAGGCCCAGCGCUGCCUCCCCAUCUGAGAGGACAGUCUACAGCAUGAGGAGAGGGACCAGAGCCCCCCUUUGUGGGAGGCAAGGCCAUGAGCCCAGAAGCAGUGCCCACUCCGGCUCCUCCCGCCUUGGCUGAAUGGUUCCCGAGCCACAUGCAUUUCACUGGGCUGUGGCGCCCCCGUUCCCCUGGGGUCCCCCGCUGGCCUGGCCCCUGCCUGGGCCUGUCCUUCCUGCCCCGUCUUCAGGAGGCCUGGGUCAUGGAAAGCAAAAGCUGAGGAGGGGACUUCUGGGAUUGAAUCCCGACUCCAUCCCCAUAACAUGCUCCCCCUGUAACAUACAACCCAUAAUCUAUCAUACAGUCCUCCCCCUCCCCAGGACAGAGCGGGUAACAGCUCAAAGAAGCUUGUCUUAAAUGUAUUGGGUUUGAGGGCAGGCAGAACCUCUGUCUGGAACUCUGUGGGCAGUGCCCACUCCAUGUUAUGUUCUGUUGAGCAGUUAGGUUCCUGGCUGGUGUUCUACAUACUAAUGUGACCAUAGUACAAACUUAAUAGAUAUCUGUCUGCUCAUCUUGGCUGUGAUGCUGUCCUUUCUGUCGCAUUUGCCUGACUGCUGCCUGGGGCAGGAGACCACGCAGAGCAUCCAGCCUGGCCUAGUGCUGUGGGGUUGAGGUCAGAAGGCUAAAUUGAGAGCGGUAAGGCCCAUCCCUGACUCAUCACGGUGAGUUCCAGGAGAUCGAGACAAGUGCAGCAUCUGUACCUUAGAAGGAUUUACUAAGUAGUUUCUGUCAUGAUUGAGAGGUCCGUCUAGGCAGGCCUUUUGCCCCAAUUCACUGCCCACAGGUGGGCCUGCUCCUGGCCAUCCCUGCAGUUUCUCCACACCCUGAGUGCAUGUCAGCCCUCACCUAGCCCGCCUCAGACCUGGGGCUCCCUCCAUCCCCCUGGUGCUGACAGCAUUGAGCAUCACUGGUGUCUUCUUGGCUCUCCCAACAGUCCUGGGGUGGGUCAUUCUUUCACAGGGGCUGGGAAUCAGAGGCGUUAAGGAAUUGAGUGGGUCACAUACUAGUAACUGUGGCUCUGUGCCCAGAAGCUGGCCUCUUAGCACUUUUGCCCGCAAGCUGGCAAACUGACCUGCUUGGGGUAGAAGCCAGAUCCCCUAUGUGGACAUCAGAGCCCAGCUGGGUUCAGAAAAGUGAAAGUGAAAGUCGCUCAGUCAUGUCCGACUCUUUGCGACCCCAUGGACUGUAUAGUUCAUGGAAUUCUCCAGGCCAG